rnacentral:rRNA from 1 species
UUAAGCGACUAAGCGUACACGGUGGAUGCCCUGGCAGUCAGAGGCGAUGAAGGACGUGCUAAUCUGCGAUAAGCGUCGGUAAGGUGAUAUGAACCGUUAUAACCGGCGAUUUCCGAAUGGGGAAACCCAGUGUGAUUCGUCACACUAUCAUUAACUGAAUCCAUAGGUUAAUGAGGCGAACCGGGGGAACUGAAACAUCUAAGUACCCCGAGGAAAAGAAAUCAACCGAGAUUCCCCCAGUAGCGGCGAGCGAACGGGGAGGAGCCCAGAGCCUGAAUCAGUGUGUGUGUUAGUGGAAGCGUCUGGAAAGGCGCGCGAUACAGGGUGACAGCCCCGUACACAAAAAUGCACAUGCUGUGAGCUCGAUGAGUAGGGCGGGACACGUGGUAUCCUGUCUGAAUAUGGGGGGACCAUCCUCCAAGGCUAAAUACUCCUGACUGACCGAUAGUGAACCAGUACCGUGAGGGAAAGGCGAAAAGAACCCCGGCGAGGGGAGUGAAAAAGAACCUGAAACCGUGUACGUACAAGCAGUGGGAGCACGCUUCGGCGUGUGACUGCGUACCUUUUGUAUAAUGGGUCAGCGACUUAUAUUCUGUAGCAAGGUUAACCGAAUAGGGGAGCCGAAGGGAAACCGAGUCUUAACUGGGCGUUAAGUUGCAGGGUAUAGACCCGAAACCCGGUGAUCUAGCCAUGGGCAGGUUGAAGGUUGGGUAACACUAACUGGAGGACCGAACCGACUAAUGUUGAAAAAUUAGCGGAUGACUUGUGGCUGGGGGUGAAAGGCCAAUCAAACCGGGAGAUAGCUGGUUCUCCCCGAAAGCUAUUUAGGUAGCGCCUCGUGAAUUCAUCUCCGGGGGUAGAGCACUGUUUCGGCAAGGGGGUCAUCCCGACUUACCAACCCGAUGCAAACUGCGAAUACCGGAGAAUGUUAUCACGGGAGACACACGGCGGGUGCUAACGUCCGUCGUGAAGAGGGAAACAACCCAGACCGCCAGCUAAGGUCCCAAAGUCAUGGUUAAGUGGGAAACGAUGUGGGAAGGCCCAGACAGCCAGGAUGUUGGCUUAGAAGCAGCCAUCAUUUAAAGAAAGCGUAAUAGCUCACUGGUCGAGUCGGCCUGCGCGGAAGAUGUAACGGGGCUAAACCAUGCACCGAAGCUGCGGCAGCGACACUGUGUGUUGUUGGGUAGGGGAGCGUUCUGUAAGCCUGUGAAGGUGUACUGUGAGGUAUGCUGGAGGUAUCAGAAGUGCGAAUGCUGACAUAAGUAACGAUAAAGCGGGUGAAAAGCCCGCUCGCCGGAAGACCAAGGGUUCCUGUCCAACGUUAAUCGGGGCAGGGUGAGUCGACCCCUAAGGCGAGGCCGAAAGGCGUAGUCGAUGGGAAACAGGUUAAUAUUCCUGUACUUGGUGUUACUGCGAAGGGGGGACGGAGAAGGCUAUGUUGGCCGGGCGACGGUUGUCCCGGUUUAAGCGUGUAGGCUGGUUUUCCAGGCAAAUCCGGAAAAUCAAGGCUGAGGCGUGAUGACGAGGCACUACGGUGCUGAAGCAACAAAUGCCCUGCUUCCAGGAAAAGCCUCUAAGCAUCAGGUAACAUCAAAUCGUACCCCAAACCGACACAGGUGGUCAGGUAGAGAAUACCAAGGCGCUUGAGAGAACUCGGGUGAAGGAACUAGGCAAAAUGGUGCCGUAACUUCGGGAGAAGGCACGCUGAUAUGUAGGUGAAGUCCCUCGCGGAUGGAGCUGAAAUCAGUCGAAGAUACCAGCUGGCUGCAACUGUUUAUUAAAAACACAGCACUGUGCAAACACGAAAGUGGACGUAUACGGUGUGACGCCUGCCCGGUGCCGGAAGGUUAAUUGAUGGGGUCAGCGCAAGCGAAGCUCUUGAUCGAAGCCCCGGUAAACGGCGGCCGUAACUAUAACGGUCCUAAGGUAGCGAAAUUCCUUGUCGGGUAAGUUCCGACCUGCACGAAUGGCGUAAUGAUGGCCAGGCUGUCUCCACCCGAGACUCAGUGAAAUUGAACUCGCUGUGAAGAUGCAGUGUACCCGCGGCAAGACGGAAAGACCCCGUGAACCUUUACUAUAGCUUGACACUGAACAUUGAGCCUUGAUGUGUAGGAUAGGUGGGAGGCUUUGAAGUGUGGACGCCAGUCUGCAUGGAGCCGACCUUGAAAUACCACCCUUUAAUGUUUGAUGUUCUAACGUUGACCCGUGAUCCGGGUUGCGGACAGUGUCUGGUGGGUAGUUUGACUGGGGCGGUCUCCUCCUAAAGAGUAACGGAGGAGCACGAAGGUUGGCUAAUCCUGGUCGGACAUCAGGAGGUUAGUGCAAUGGCAUAAGCCAGCUUGACUGCGAGCGUGACGGCGCGAGCAGGUGCGAAAGCAGGUCAUAGUGAUCCGGUGGUUCUGAAUGGAAGGGCCAUCGCUCAACGGAUAAAAGGUACUCCGGGGAUAACAGGCUGAUACCGCCCAAGAGUUCAUAUCGACGGCGGUGUUUGGCACCUCGAUGUCGGCUCAUCACAUCCUGGGGCUGAAGUAGGUCCCAAGGGUAUGGCUGUUCGCCAUUUAAAGUGGUACGCGAGCUGGGUUUAGAACGUCGUGAGACAGUUCGGUCCCUAUCUGCCGUGGGCGCUGGAGAACUGAGGGGGGCUGCUCCUAGUACGAGAGGACCGGAGUGGACGCAUCACUGGUGUUCGGGUUGUCAUGCCAAUGGCACUGCCCGGUAGCUAAAUGCGGAAGAGAUAAGUGCUGAAAGCAUCUAAGCACGAAACUUGCCCCGAGAUGAGUUCUCCCUGACCCUUUAAGGGUCCUGAAGGAACGUUGAAGACGACGACGUUGAUAGGCCGGGUGUGUAAGCGCAGCGAUGCGUUGAGCUAACCGGUACUAAUGAACCGUGAGGCUUAACCUU